rnacentral:rRNA from 1 species
UACAGAGGGUGCAAGCGUUGUCCGGAAUCAUUGGGCGUAAAGCGCGUGUAGGCGGCUCGGUAAGUCCGCUCUGAAAGUCCAGGGCUCAACCCUGGGAUGCGGGUGGAUACUGCCGGGCUCGAGUCCGGAAGAGGCGAGUGGAAUUCCCGGUGUAGCGGUGAAAUGCGCAGAUAUCGGGAGGAACACCAAUGGCGAAGGCAGCUCGCUGGGACGUGACUGACGCUGAGACGCGAAAGCGUGGGGAGCAAACAGG